rnacentral:lncRNA from 1 species
AAAAACCUCCACUACCAUCUUCCCCACCAUCUUCUACCACUACCCACCCACUGUCUUCUCUAUUCAAGUAAGUUUCUCUUUUUCUUUCUCUAUCUAUUCCUCUAACUAGUAUAAUGUAGACAUAAAUGAAUUUAGUUUAACCCUAGUUAGGUUAGUUUGGUUUUGCAAUUUUUGCUUCUUUUAUGGUUUCCAUUGUUGUAGGGGAUUGUUAUGAACUUGUUUGGUGCUAAGGAGGUUGGGUCUUCAUGGUGUGUCAACGGUAGGACUUGUUUGAUGUUUUGGGAGGCCUAGAAUAUCUUUUUGGGGUGUAGUUGUUAUGGGCCCUUUUUGGCCAAAAAUAUGUGGUUGUUGUGAUAUUGCGGGGCAAUUUGUGCCUAUUCUGGUUUGUGGGUGUUGUACUUGGUGAUUGGGGUGUUGUCAAUGUUUGAAAAUAUGUGAAGCGUAAGUGUGGGUGGUGUAGGCCGAAUGUUGCGAGGCCUUUUUGGAGGUUGUGACCUUCACCACCCAGCUAGUGGGGCUAGUUCGCAAAGUAGAACUUAAUGGGGGUAUUGUUUUGGUGCCAUCGAGUGACGAAGUCUGAGUAACCAUCUGAUUGGCACUAGUUAAGAUGAAUUUGAUGGUUCUUCUAAACUCUCUGCAUGUACAUGGCUCCUAAGAAGCAAA